GCAUCGGGGGGCUUACACAUGCAAGUCGAGGGGUAACAUUGUGCUUGCACAGAUGACGACCGGCGCACGGGUGCGUAACGCGUAUAGAACCUACCUUUUACAGAGGGAUAGCCUUUAGAAAUGAAGAUUAAUACCUUAUGGUAUUGUAGACUGGCAUCAGUUUAUAAUUAAAGAUUUAUCGGUAAAAGAUGGCUAUGCGUCCUAUUAGUUAGAUGGUAAGGUAACGGCUUACCAUGACAUCGAUAGGUAGGGGUCCUGAGAGGGAGAUCCCCCACACUGGUACUGAGACACGGACCAGACUCCUACGGGAGGCAGCAGUGAGGAAUAUUGGGCAAUGGAGGCAACUCUGACCCAGCCAUGCCGCGUGUAGGGAGAAUGCCCCAUGGGUUGUAAACUACUUUUAUACAGGAAGAAACACUGGUAUGUAUACCAGCUUGACGGUACUGUAAGAAUAAGGACCGGCUAACUCCGUGCCAGCAGCCGCGGUAAC
rnacentral:rRNA from 1 species